CCGUCUUGCGCCCUCCUUUCUGUUUUGUUCACGCAUCCCCCUAACCCCACGCCGGAAGUUGAUCUGGCAGUGGGGAUGCUCUUUUCCGUGCUCGUUGACCUACCAUAUCUCUGUGGGCGCCCCUCUCCUCCACUGGCAUUCCCAUACUCUCCACCUCUGGCGCGCUACCCUCCUCCCUUCGCCAGGUCGUCUACUUCCUUUUGCAUCCGAUGUUUAUCCUUCGCUGUUACGUUCUGGAAGAGAGGGGAGGGGAGGGGGCCGCGGCGGCGCCUUGCCCGACUUCUCCCUGUGGUCUGGUGAACACGCACUCUUCUCCGGCGCUCUCGUUGACUACCUUGAAUGAGAUCCGUACACACUCACACGCACAUCCACACAGGAAGUAAAGCACGGAGGCACACCAGUGCGUGUGCUUGUGGGAACACCGUACACUCGUCUGUCGUUCUCCCGCCCCGCCAGUGAACGCACUGACGGAGCGACGAAGGCGUGCAUGACGAACAUAAAGAAAAGAGGCGUGCCACGAGGGGUGUUCACACAGAGGCAUUCAUCACGUACAUCAACGGAAAGGACGCAGUGGAUCUUGGCUUUCGCUCGCGACAACGGAGGCCAUGGAAGCCCCCAACCCCCUCCUUCCGUGGGUAUAUCCUACACACGUCUUGCUCUUGUCGUUGACAUGCUGCCGACCACACGCGUAUGCCCAAGCGAAAGCCAAAGCCAGCGAGAGAGAGAUGCCGCGGGAGCUCGAUGCUCGUCGCCUCCGCCGACCCCAUUCUCUCCCCCACCGCCUCUUCCCCAGCGUCGCUGCCACGUGUGCCUGCACCGUGGGUGUCAAACCGAGGUGGGACGAGAGCACAAGAGAGGGGGCGACACACCUAAAGCGCCCGGCGCCACGACAGGCGCAGGUGACGCUCACAUGCGGUGCAUCUCUCUUCCCUCCCCCUUUGCUCAAGCUCGUUGCGUUUCCCUUUUCUGCCUCCGGCUCUCUUCUAGUGUUGAUGCCCCCCCCCCUCGUAAUCCCGUCCCUCUCUCCACGUUAUCCCUCCAUCUCUUUGCUAUCCCGGUGUGGCUAUCGUGCGGGAG
rnacentral:misc_RNA from 1 species